CAACAGGGAUUGCCCCAGUAACGGCGAGUGAAGCGGCAACAGCUCAAAUUUGAAAUCUGGCUCUCGGGCCCGAGUUGUAAUUUGUAGAGGAUGCUUUUGGUGAGGUGCCUUCCGAGUUCCCUGGAACGGGACGCCAUAGAGGGUGAGAGCCCCGUCUGGUUGGACGCCGAACCUCUGUAAAGCUCCUUCGACGAGUCGAGUAGUUUGGGAAUGCUGCUCUAAAUGGGAGGUAUAUGUCUUCUAAAGCUAAAUACCGGCCAGAGACCGAUAGCGCACAAGUAGAGUGAUCGAAAGAUGAAAAGAACUUUGAAAAGAGAGUUAAACAGUACGUGAAAUUGUUGAAAGGGAAGCGCUUGUGACCAGACUUGGGCUUGGUUGAUCAUCCGGGGUUCUCCCCGGUGCACUCUUCCGGCCCAGGCCAGCAUCAGUUCGCCCUGGGGGACAAAGGCAUCGGGAACGUGGCUCUCUCCGGGGAGUGAUAU
rnacentral:rRNA from 1 species